AACGAACGCUGGCGGCAGGCUUAACGCAUGCAAGUCGAACGCCCCGCAAGGGGAGUGGCAGACGGGUGAGUAACGCGUGGGAAUCUACCCAUCUCUGCGGAAUAGCUCUGGGAAACUAGAAUUAAUACCGCAUACGCCCUACGGGGGAAAGAUUUAUCGGGGAUGGAUGAGCCCGCGUUGGAUUAGCUAGUUGGUGGGGUAAAGGCCUACCAAGGCGACGAUCCAUAGCUGGUCUGAGAGGAUGAUCAGCCACAUUGGGACUGAGACACGGCUCAAACUCCUACGGGAGGCAGCAGUGGGGAAUAUUGGACAAUGGGCGCAAGCCUGAUCCAGCCAUGCCGCGUGAGUGAUGAAGGCCUUAGGGUUGUAAAGCUCUUUCACCGAUGAAGAUAAUGACGGUAGUCGGAGAAGAAGCCCCGGCUAACUUCGUGCCAGCCGCCGCAGUAA
rnacentral:rRNA from 1 species